GGGGUUGUAACUCAGUGGUAGAGUGCUAGCCUAACAUGUGUGAGGCACUGGGUUCGAUUCUCAGCACCA
rnacentral:tRNA from 1 species